CUCUACCGAUUGAGUGAUCCGGUGAGCUGUCCGGACUGCGAUUAGUUCAGUUUCUGUUCUCUUCGCGGGAAGUUCUGCAAACCUUAUCACUUAGAGGAAGGAGAAGUCGUAACAAGGUUUCCGUAGGUGAACCUGCGGAAGGAUCAUUC
rnacentral:ncRNA from 1 species